rnacentral:rRNA from 1 species
AUCAAAUGGAAACGGAUAUAGUCGGCGGAUCUGACUCGUAUUCAGCCGAAUAUUGUGCGAUUGCGACAAUUGGUUAAGACGUUUUCACGCUCGCGUGAACGUUCUUGCUUGUCGUCGCUCUUCCGCGCAAAUCGGUGCACUUGCGUGUCGUUGUGCGCUGGAACGUGCGCGUUUUUUGCUUGCGGUUUGAAGAAGAGGAUGCGUAUUUCGAUGCGUAAAACCAGCUUCAUGCAUUUGCGGGCAAUUCAACGUGCACUUGUUGACGAUUGGUCGGUAGGAAAGGGGUUUAACGUACAGAACAUUCUUCGCGCGUAUGGCGGUCGCAUGCGACACGCGUGCGCUCUUGGUUUGUCUUGCGUUUGGCUCUCCUGCGACUUUCCGGCGUAAGAGUCGAGCGAUUAUCCGACCCGUCUUGAAACACGGACCAAGGAGUUUAAGGUAUACGCGAGUGAUUGGGUAAUAAAAACCCAAAUGCGUAAUGAAAGUGAAAGUGUGCCGUAGGCGCAAUAUACUUAUACGCGAUCCGUCAUCGUUUGUGGUGUUGCGGAGCAGCGUAGCCCCGUCUCUAUCGCUUGCGAUGGGGCGGAGGAAGAGCGUAUGCGUUGAGACCCGAAAGAUGGUGAACUAUGCUUGAGCAGGACGAAGUCAGAGGAAACUCUGAUGGAAGUCCGAAACGGUUCUGACGUGCAAAUCGAUCG